UGGAGCAUGUGGUUAAUUCGACGCAACGCGAAGAACCUUACCUAGGCUUGACAUCUGGGGAAUCCCAUGGAAACAUGGGAGUGCGGAGCAAUCCGAGCCCCAAGACAGGUGCUGCAUGGCUGUCGUCGGCUCGUGUCGUGAGAUGUUGGGUUAAGUCCCGCAACGAGCGCAACCCUUGUCUCUAGUUGCCAUCAUUUAGUUGGGCUACUCUAGAGAGACUGCCGGUGAUAAACCGGAGGAAGGUGGGGACGACGUCAAGUCCUCAUGGCCUUUAUGUCCAGGGCUACACACGUGCUACAAUGGACGGUACAAAGGGUUGCUAUCCCGCGAGGAGGCGCUAAUCCCAAAAAGCCGUUCUCAGUUCGGAUCGGAGUCUGCAACUCGACUCCGUGAAGUUGGAAUCGCUAGUAAUCGUGGAUCAGCAUGCCACGGUGAAUACGUUCCCGGGCCUU
rnacentral:rRNA from 1 species